rnacentral:rRNA from 1 species
AACGAACGCUGGCGGCACGCCUAACACAUGCAAGUCGAACGAGACCUUCGGGUCUAGUGGCGCACGGGUGCGUAACGCGUGGGAACCUGCCCUUAGGUUCGGAAUAACUCCCCGAAAGGGGUGCUAAUACCGGAUAAUGUCUUCGGACCAAAGAUUUAUCGCCUUUGGAUGGGCCCGCGUUGGAUUAGCUAGUUGGUAGGGUAAAAGCCUACCAAGGCGACGAUCCAUAGCUGGUCUGAGAGGAUGAUCAGCCACACUGGGACUGAGACACGGCCCAGACCCCUACGGGAGGCAGCAGUGGGGAAUAUGGGAAAAGGGGCGAAAGCCUGACCCAGAAAUGCCGGGGGAGUGAUGAAGGCCUUAGGGUUGAAAAGCUUUUUUACCCGGGAUGAUAAGGACAGUACCGGGAGAAAAAGCCCCGGCUAACUCCGG